rnacentral:rRNA from 1 species
CCUACGGGUGACAGCAGUGGGGAAUAUUGCACAAUGGGGGGAACCCUGAUGCAGCAACGCCGCGUGAGUGAAGAAGUAUUUCGGUAUGUAAAGCUCUAUCAGCAGGGCAGAAGAUGACUUUACCUGAGUAAGAAGCCCCGGCUAACUACGUUCCAGCAGCCGCGGUAAUACGUAGGGGGCAAGCGUGAUCCGGAUUGACUGGGGUUAAAGGGAGCGGAGACGGUGAGACAAGUCUGAAGUGAAAGCCCGGGGCUCAACCCCGGGACUGCUUUGGAAACUGCCUGACUGGAGUGCUGGAGAGGAAAGCGGAAUUCCUAGUGUAGCGGUGAAAUGCGUAGAUAUUAGGAAGAACACCAGUGGCGAAGGCGGGUUGCUGGACAGUAACUGACGUUGAGGCUCGAAAGCGUGGGGAGCAAACAGGAUUAGAUACCCUUGUAGUC